rnacentral:rRNA from 1 species
GAUGAACGCUGGCGGCGUGCCUAAUACAUGCAAGUCGAGCGAACAGACGAGGAGCUUGCUCCUCUGACGUUAGCGGCGGACGGGUGAGUAACACGUGGAUAACCUACCUAUAAGACUGGGAUAACUUCGGGAAACCGGAGCUAAUACCGGAUAACAUGUUGAACCGCAUGGUUCAACAGUGAAAGACGGUCUUGCUGUCGCUUAUAGAUGGAUCCGCGCCGCAUUAGCUAGUUGGUAAGGUAACGGCUUACCAAGGCAACGAUGCGUAGCCGACCUGAGAGGGGGUACGGCCAAACGGGAACUGGAACACGGACCAGAACCCUAAGGGAGGCAGGAGAAGGAAUGCUUCCGAAAGGGGCGAAGGCCUGCAGGGGCAACCCCGGGUGAGGGAAGAGGGUCUGCGGAUCGUAAAAUGCUGUUUUAAGGAAAGAACAAAUGGGGAAGUAACCAUGCCGGCUUUACCGGUACCUAACUAGAAACCCCCGGUCAAUCCCGU